GGAUAUUCAGCCUCCAGUAGAUGAGCUUGGAUCUCUCAGUGUUGAUGACCUGGAGUCAGCUGGGGAACUGAAGCACAGAAAUGUCCAUGGUCAAACAGGGGAUCUCUGGUGGAGCCGGGACUGGAACACAGGGACUUGAGUCAAGGUCUUCUAUCUCCCAGCUGCAUGCUCCGACCACUG